CUACGGGGGGCAGCAGUAAGGAAUAUUGCGCAAUGGAGGCAACUCUGACGCAGCCAUGCCGCGUGCAGGAAGAAGGCCUUAUGGGUCGUAAACUGCUUUUAUUUAGGAAUAAACCCCCGAACGUGUUCGGGGCUGAAGGUACUAAACGAAUAAGCACCGGCUAACUCCGGGCCAGCAGCCGCGGUAAUACGGAGGGUGCAAGCGUUAUCCGGAUUUAUUGGGUUUAAAGGGUGCGCAGGCGGGCUAUUAAGUCAGUGGUGAAAUCCCGGGGCUCAACUCCGGAACUGCCAUUGAUACUGAUAGUCUUGAGUUUGGUUGAAGUGGGCGGAAUGUAGCAUGUAGCGGUGAAAUGCAUAGAUAUGCUACAGAACACCAAUCGCGAAGGCAGCUCACUAAGCCAAAACUGACGCUCAUGCACGGAAGCGUGGGGAUCAAACAGGAUUAGAUACCCUGGUAGUC
rnacentral:rRNA from 1 species